rnacentral:rRNA from 1 species
AUGGAUGGUCACCAAGUUGCGAUGAACAGGACGAGGGCGCUGGAGGCCUUGUCCCCCUACCUAGAGAAUCCCCGGCAGAUAGUCAUCCGCAAUGAAGCUUUCGUGGCUGUGGCAGCCGCGAUGCUGUUCCUGCAACUCAUCCUCGGUCCUUGGCGCCGGCGGUCGAGCCAUUGGUUCGUGCAAGGUACUCUCUGGGUAGCUUACACGGUCUCCUUCCCUCUCAUCACCUACACCCUUGGUCAGAUGGUGACCUCACCCGUGAAGAACAUGUUGUAUCCUGUUUGGGCUCUGAUCCUCUUCUGGGCAGCCGGCUGUGCCAAUGCCUUCGUGGCUUAUAAUAUCGAAGACAACAAGCGGUGGAAGCGGUACCUCUUUGAGAUCCUUCAGUAUUUGGUGUAUCUGUCCGUUAUAUUCCGGCUGCUUCGUCCUGCUAGUGCUACGUCACAUUCUUUACAGCCAAUUGCCGCAGCCCUGCUGUCGGCCGUGCUGUUUAAUGCCAAUGUAUUAAGAGUAUUUUCUUGUUGGAGGGUCACAAAUUCUAUUCCCAGCAAAUUAGUAGCCGACUACAUGAUGGCUCAGGUUCAGGUUCAGGUUCAGGUGCAAGAGGAGACUUUCACGAUGAACGGCUGCAAAUACUUUGUCUGGCAUCCUUUUUUGGGACCAAACGGCAUACAUGAAGAGGAUGGUGCCAUCACCAUACAGGCAAUAUGGGGCAUGGCAUUUGAUGAUGAAAGCAUGAGAGAUUUAUGCCUCUCGUUUGCUCUGUCUCACUUACUGUGUCGCCGCUACUUUGAGAUGGAUUGUGCUGAAGCCAGACUACCCAAGACGCUCGAGUUUGCACUUGAGGGUUUGUUGCCACAAGUGGACCAAGUCAACCAUUACUCAAGAGCAUUUCAUGUCAUCGAGGUAGAAUUGGGCUUCCUCUAUGACUUCUUCUUCACAAAACAUGCAAAUCUCUUUUCCACACAGGAUCAAUUCCUUGUGCUGAUUGUUCUCAUACUGAUUUGCACACCUAUCGCCGGAGUAUUUCUGAUUGUAUAUCCCCCCAUUGUCAACACACUUGACCCUAUAAUCGAAGUUGGCACAAGACGGGUUGAUGUUAUUAUUACAGUCGUGAUUGUGGGAGCUCUCCUCGUAUUUGAAGCUUUGCAGGCUAUAGUCUAUCUGAAAUCGGAUUGGGCCGCUGUUUCGCUCGCUUGCAGCUAUACCAGAGGGCGUGCAAGCAAAUUCGUUCCGUCCAUCAUUCGCUUUCUUAGAAGGUUUAAGUUUGACAAUUUUCUUGGCAGGAGGAUUAGUGUUUUUGGAUAUUGGCAAAAUAAGAUGGGCCAGUCAUCUCUAAUUGGAGGCAACUUGCUUCUCAAUUGGUUCUUUUCGGGUCAUGUUGGUGGAGACACAUUUUUACCAGUGCUUUCAUUAUUGGCUGUAUGGAACUGUUUGAAACUUGUUUCUUCAAUGAUAUUCUCAAUGAAGACUUUCGUGGUGGUUCCUGAUUUGGUCAAGAGCCAUAUAAUUUCCUGCUUGCGCACAUAUGGCACCGGUGGUGGUCCUCUAACUAAUGGAAGAGCAUCAUUGGAGCGGAAUGGUGUCCUUGGUGAUUUCUCCUCUACACUGGAAAAUGAUAGCCAGAUAAAAGUGAUGCUUAUUUGGCACAUCGCAACUGAGUACUGCAAUAUUGCAUCUUUCAAUGGUGCAGAGGAGGGGCUUCAUCACACGGGUGCACAACAAGUUGCCACAACUUUGUCCAAGUAUUGUGCUUACUUAAUGUACUUCGUUCCAGAAUUACUCGCCGAGAACUCUACAGACACACUAUUCAUAGUCCAUGACGUGCUAAAGAAAGUACAGAGUGCACUGGGUGGUGACAUUCCUACUAAGGAUAUAUUGCUCAGGGUCAUCCAGAAUUCUGAAACUAUCAGGAGUAACCAGGAUCAAACUGUCGUCCAUGAUUCUGAAGGCCCUGAGAACCAUGCUACCAUAAUCCAAAUUCCUCCAGUCAGCAACAACACAGACAACAUCAUCCAUGACUCCGGCGGCGGCGGCAGCGGCAGCACGGAUAACAUCAUCAGCGACUCCAGCGGCAGCAGCAACACGGAUAACAUCAUACACGACUCCAGCAGCGGUAGCAACAACGGCCAUACUAGCAUCGCCCAGGAUUCCGCCACCAACAACAUUGAAGAUAGCAUCCUCAUCAAAGGAUUGAAGCUAGGGAGGGAUCUGGAGGCGAAAGAUGUUGACCUCCGCUGGAAGGUGAUGGCAGAAUUCUGGGCUGAGACCAUCAUCUACAUUGCGCCAUCGGACAAAGCCGCAGAGCACAUGGAGCGGCUUGCGCAAGGAGGGGAAUUCCUUACUCAUAUCUGGGCUCUCCUCACGCACGCAGGCAUUCUAAAGCGUGACCACAUGAUCCCAAUACCAGAACAGAUACCAACCACAUGA